CCCUUCUACAAAGACAUGAUGGUGGUUCCCUGUCUUUGGACACCUAAGAACUGGAGGCCAAGAAACAUGGACUUUGACAAAUCUACGGACAGUUUGCUCCCUGUAGGCUCAAGAGCAACCAUCCCACAUAG